rnacentral:sRNA from 1 species
UACGAGUGGGCCGGCGCGCCUGGCUUGU